UACGUAGGGGGCUAGCGUUGUCCGGAUUUAUUGGGCGUAAAGAGCGUGUAGGCGGCCAGGUAGGUCUGGUGUGAAAACUCGAGGCUUAACCUCGAGAUGUCAUCGGAAACCAUUUGGCUAGAGUCCGGAAGAGGAGAGUGGAAUUCCUGGUGUAGCGGUGAAAUGCGCAGAUAUCAGGAAGAACACCAAUGGCGAAAGCAGCUCUCUGGGACGGCACUGACGCUGAGACGCGAAAGCGUGGGGAGCGAACAGG
rnacentral:rRNA from 1 species